AGAAUCAACGCUGGCGGCGUGCCUCAGACAUGCAAGUCGAACGAUUAAACUUCCCUUCGGGGAAGAUAUAAAGUGGCGCACGGGUGAGUAACACGUAAGUAAUCUACCUUCGAGUGGGAAUAACGUUCGGAAACGAACGCUAAUACCGCAUAACGCAGCGCAUCGCAAGAUGACAGUUGUUAAAGGAAUUUAUUCGCUUGAAGAGGAGCUUGCGGCAGAUUAGCUAGUUGGUAAGGUAACGGCUUACCAAGGCUACGAUCUGUAUCCGGUCUAAGAGGACGGUCGGACACACUGACACUGAAUAACGGGUCAGACUCCUACGGGAGCGAGCAGUCGGGUAAUUUGGGCUAAGUGGGACGAAAGCC
rnacentral:rRNA from 1 species